AAGGAAGGGUGGGGAUGACGUCAAGUCCUCAUCGGCCCUUAUAGGGUGGGCUACACACGUCAUACAAUGGCCGGUACAGAGGGUAGCCAACCCGCGAGGGGGAGCCAAUCCCACAAAGCCGGUCGUAGUCCGGAUCGCAGUCUGCAACUCGACUGCGUGAAGUCGGAAUCGCUAGUAAUCGCGGAUCAGCAUGUCGCGGUGAAUACGUUCCCGGGUCUU
rnacentral:rRNA from 1 species